GGUCUUUGAUAAAUUCUAAAAGUUAUAGUUGUGAAAGCUAUUUUCAUAAUAUUUAUACGUGUAAAGUAGUGUAAAAUUUAAUAUAUGACCUCUGCAGAGAUCUAAUGAUUUAAAUGAUAUCACAGUAGGCUUUAAAUAAAGUAAAACUUUCAAAACAGGAUUUUUUAAAUUUAUGACUCCCAUCCCUUCAAACUUAAAAUAUUUAUAAAGUAUUUUCUGUGCAUUUGAUAAAUUAGAGAAAGAAAUUAUUUGGUGUGCUGUAACAUAUACCAAACAAAAUAUCACUAUCCUCAUAUUUUCAGGCUAAGAAAUGUUGGACAGUAGCUUGUAAAAAGAACAAAAUUAGUUUGAAAGAAAGGGUCAUUUUGAGAAUGUGAGGUCAUUAAGAAGCCCAUCUGAAAAGGGUAAGUGAUGGAUUAUAUUGUUGUUACGUAGGUGACAAAGUUGGAAGUUGAUAAUGUGAAGAUGAGAAGAAGUAAGAUGAAGGCAAGAGUUAUAAGCAGGAGAGAUUGGUAGAAGCCAAUAUUCCUUGCAAAUCUGGAUAAUACAUGCAAAUUGCUUGAGGAACACUAUUUUAAACCAAGCUGGGCCUGCUUAAUCAAGAGCUAGAAUGUCAAACUGAGAAGCCAGAAGAAAUCCGGGAGUCUCUGUAGGGCCAGGUGUUCUCCUGACUGUGCUUCUUUUCUGAACAUCAAACUGUGCGUUGGGCCAGCCCUCAGGUGAGUUCUGGUUUCUUGCUGAGAUUGCGUAACUGUCUCAGAUUUCUCUGUCCAGGUCCCUAGGGGAGCAGCCAACUGUGCCAGUUCAGAUCAGGCAUCCACCUCCAGCCAAAUUCACCUGUCUUGAUUUGCUCGGGCUGCUAGAACAGAAUACCAGAAACUGGCAUUUAUUUCUCACAGGUCUGGAGGCUGGAAGUCCAAGGUCACGGAGCCAGCAUGGUGGAGUUCUGGCAAAUCUCCUCUGGGCUUGCAGAUGACCAUCUCCUCGCUGUGCCCUCUCGUGGUGGAGAGAGAGAGCACCUCUAUGUGUCUCUUCUUAUAAGGACACUAAUCGCAUUCCUGAAGGCUCCACCCUCGUGACCUAAUUACCUUCCAAAGGCCCCACCUCCAAAUACCAUCACUCUUGGGAUUAGGGCUUCAAGAUGUGAAUUUUGGGGGGACACAUUCAGUCCAUAGCAGCACAGCGUGAGCUUGAUGUUCAAAGUGACAUGGUACACACAUGGCUGCCACAGCCAUACGCUCAUCAUGGUGGACGAAAAGGGACUGAGACCUUCUCAGGUAUUUUGGAGGCAUAAUAGGGCCCUCCCCCCAAAAAAUCUGCUCGUCAUAGUGAAGACAGUAUUAUUUUUGGUUCGCCCAAUCUGCCACCUCAUUUGUGAGGCUUUAUUCCACUUCUCUCAGCCUAAUGAAUCAUUUCCUUCUAUUUAUUUAUUUAUUUAUGUCACUUAGCAUGUAGUUUAUUAGUUUUUUCAACUAAAUUGUAAAGUACCCUAAAAAGUCUAACCUUAUAUAUGAUGGGUACACAAUUAUUUGUUGACAACGAAAAGAGGAAAUAUAGUAACAUCCAGUUGAGUGCAUGGACUUGGGCCCUGUUCUCAGCUCUGUACCUAAUUAGCAGGAUGACAUUGAGUUAUUUCACCUCUUUGUGUUUAGUUUUCUCAGCCUUAUUUCCAACGUGAAACAACCCCUCUCAGAUGAUCACUCAUGUCUUUUGAGUUUAGGCAUAAUAUCCAGGCCUUGAUGACCAGCACAUAUCAUCUUAUGACACAGUGAUUUAUUCCAGGAUUACCAGGGACCAAGCCAAGCCAGUGGAAGUCAGUUGUGGGACAUUUGCUAAAGCUAUUGAGAAAACACCUCUCUUGUUGCUAGACUUGAAAUGAGGAAGAUGAAAGCUGGAAUAUCUGUGUUCCCAAAUGGAUAAUACCUGUCUGAGUGAAGCUGCAACCGAAAAAAUCAGAGCUGUGAAACGGAAAGGCUGACUACAGAUGUCCUUAUUUGAGCCACUGGAGCUCUUAAUGUCCAAAGCCAAUGUUAUCAUAUCAUUCUGUUACCUGAGCUUAUAUCAAUGUUUCCAUCCCCCCCACUACAUUUUUUAACUAGUUUUUUUUAACUUAUCCCAGUUUGAGUUUUUCAUCAGUUAUAAUUAAGAGUCUGGAUUAAAUGAUGGCAAAAAAUAAAUUUCUUUCAUAUGUUUCUGGAAGGAUUGUGAAUUGGUAGAUCCUUGUAAGAAAUCAAGAGCCUUUACUAUGUUCAUACUUGCUUAUUUUUUUCUCAUUUGGAAAUCCAUCCUACAGGAAUUAUCCCAAAUAUGGAAAAGCUUUUAUGACAAAGAAAACAACAAACUUAUUAAAUCUAAUUUUCAUUUCUACAGAUCAUUGUAUAUACAGCACUUAGCACAAUGUUUACCAUAAAUUGCUUAUUAAAUCAAUCAACCAAUUAAAUAACAUUAAUAAAAUUGUUUAUCAUAACUUAACCUAAAUGUACACUUUAGGGAAAUGGUUAAUUUUCAUUUAUAUACUUUAUGGUAUAUUAUAUAGUCAUUAAGAUAUUAUAAAGGAUUUGUAACACCAUAGAAAACUAAGUACAGCAUAAUAUUAAAAGAAACAAAUUUAGAAGCUUAUAUAUAAAGCACAAGCGUUAUUUAUUUUAUUGAAGACAUAUUCCAGAAGGAUACUACAAAAUCUUAGUAGAAGAGGGUGAAUAUUUUCUUCCUCCCAAUUUCUUAUGAUUACCAAAAUGUAUUAAUGUGUUAAAAUAUGACUGGUUUAAUAUUGUGAAAAAAAUAGGCACCUAAAAAUAACUGAUUUUAACUAUUUGCUCAAAUCUUUUCAAUUCCAUCAUUUGAUGAUGCCAAGAACCACUAAAUUACCAUGGUUUUCACAAACCUCAUUGUUUUUGCAAGUAGUGAAAAUUUGGCACCAAAAUUCAAGGACAAGGCUAAGUUGACUUAUUAGUCAUAAGGUACUUGCCUUUUUUUUUUUCCACUGAGGCAGAUUUGCCCUGAGCUAACAUCUGUUACCAAGCUUCCUCUCUUUGUAUAUAAGCUGCAGCCACAGUAUAGCCACUGAUAGACAAGUGUGUAGGUCCACGCCUGGGAACCAAACCCAGGCCACCAAAGUAGAGUGUGCCGAACUCAAACACUAGGCCACUGGGCCUGGCCCUUGUUGUUUUUUAAUGGUUGUUUCUGACUCUUCCCAAUAUUUGUGAAAUCAAACAGAAACAGAGAUUGUCACAUAGGCCAGCAAGAGUGUCAUGUGUUUUCUUGGAUGUGAUCCUUUUAGUUGUUCCAAAUCAUCAAGAAUGGUGCCCAUCAUUUCCAUGUUCUCUGGCCUAACUGUUGACUCCAUGCUGACCAGGAAUCCUUCUGUGUUUCCCUAGACAAUUUCCUCUCCUCUUCUUUCUAGCAGCCAUGUCUAGCCUCUGCUUACUAAUCCAGCUUUAUCUUACUUAUCCAAUGCCACCGCAUUGCUCCCUUGCUCCCCUGACCUCGUGCUAAACCUGCUCUAUGAUGCAUCCAUAAGAAACUUCAUCCGGUUCCCCAUCCCUCUGCUUUCUUGCUUUCAGAGCACUUCUCUUUCUCUGCCUAUGUUUACCUGGAGAAACGCCCCCUUAUUUUUCAGUUUUCAAGUAGGGUAUCUCUUCUUUAAAACAGCCUUCUUUGACCCCUAAGAUGGGUCAGUUGCCCUCACCAUAGUUUCUCGCAGGUCCUCGGUCUCCCUGUCCAUAGCACUGACCAUGUGCAAAUGUCUAUGUCCUUGUGGGUUUCCCCACAAGAAUGUAACCCUGUGACCACAGACACCAUCUGUCUGUCUAGUCUGUCUUGUAUGUAGUUACAACACUUAGUGCAGAGCUUGGCACGUAUUAGUAACAGCAUUUAGUAAAAUUAUAAAGAAAAGAUGGAUAUUACACAUUUGUUUAAUAUCACAACCAUUAUUGGAAAACUGAUAACCUACUUUUCUGGAUUCCAAGGUCCAUUCCACUCACUGUGCCACUCUGCUUUCCUUGAUUCCUUUCUCAAGUGGGCUGUUUUCAACUUUUCAAAGUGAAUUAUAUAAUAUUAUGCCAUUUUAUUCUUACCACAGACUUCCAGGAUAGGUCUUCAUUUGUAUCUAUAAGUGGAAAACAAGAGAGAAUGGGCAAAAAAGGCCAAAGGGACAAGAGAAGAAAACAAUAAAACAAUAUGCUCCAACAGCUCAUGUCUUUGGAAAAUCAGUAUUUAAUUGCUAAUCUUACCACCUGGUAGCAGAAGGCUGUGGAAAAAAGUCCUUUAAAUUAAAAAAGAAGCUAUAAUAAACAAAUAUAUUUAUUAAGGAUUUAAAAGUCCUGGAGCAGAAGUUCCAGGGAAGAAUUGACAAAAAUAUUUUAUUUUAAAAGCAUUUUUGUUCUGAUGUUAGUAAAUUGUGGCCAUUUACGAGCUUUUGUAGAAAAUCCAGUGAUGUUCAGAACUAAAAAUAAACCAACACAAAAGAAACAGGAAAACUAAAACUGGAGCUCCUCCGCGCUCAUCGUCUUGGUGCCUUCAGACAUAGGGGUGCUAAGACAAGAGCCUCUAGGCCGAGAAGCCAACUGUCUUGAAAAUUAACAAGGGAUUCAUGAAAAACAGCAGAAAACAGGUGAUAUGGAAAACCUGUAUAAUGAUCCAGCAUUGAAUUAUAACAGAUGCCAUCUCCCCAUGAAAUCAUAGACUGAAAAUAGGAGAGAGAAAAUAACCUUGGAAGAUUUUAAGGAAAACUGACAAUCUUCAGACUCCAUAAUUACAAAAAUAAUCACUUACACUUCAAUCCAACAUGAGUUUAUUUACAAUAGGUUUGGUUACCUCAUUGAAUACAUCGUUUUAAAUCUUUACAUGAGAUAUUUGGCUGGAUCUAUGCCAUUGUAUUUAUACUUCAGGGCAAGAAAAAAAUGUACCAGCUGCAAGAUAUGAUGAAACUAUUUCAUUUAACAUUUACUUUUCAAACAACUUUGAGAAAAUAAUGAUAUAUGUUACUUCAGGGAUUUCUGGUGAGCAGUUAUGAGGUUGAGCUGAGAACAUCAAAUGGUCUGUAAUUGGGUCAUGACCCUAUACGUUCUUCCUUCACUGGAGGAAGUAAAACAAGUUUGAGAUCAAUAUUUACACAGAGAAAAUUUCCUAAAUAUUUGGGGGUUUUUUGCAGUGCUUAAUUUGACCACACAAUGCAUUUUUCAUGUUCUGCAAUUCUGCAAGGAACAUGUAUGAAUCUUCAGAUACUUUUAAAGAAAUAUGUCAUAUUUAAAACAAUCUUUAUCUGAAAUGACUGAUUUCUAUUGCAUACAUUUCAGAGUGUUCAUUGUCAAUAAAUGAAUACAUUGAGUUCUGUUCAUCAUGGAGAUUCAGGAGGUAGUGAGUCAAGGCCUCAAGGAAGCUCUCUGAGUACAGUGUCUAGGCAGAAACGGAUCUUCUUAAAGCACUGCCCACGAAACCACAUAGCUUGAAAAAUCACCAGUUUUAGAGUUAAGUAUCAACCAUUCAUUGACUGAAAUAAGCGAUUGUUUUCAAAUUUAUUGUUUUUGAAAGAAUUCAGACACAUCUAAAAACAUUUUUAUAAGAGCCUAUAUCGGUGGCAAAACUUACCUAGUCAUGUCAGACCUUUUGAUGAUCCAGUUAACAAAUAUUCAUAAGCUAUUAUUAUGUGUUAGGUACUAUGCUAGAAAUAGAAAUAGAAGACAGAGCUUCUGCUCUCAAGGAAUGUACACUUUACUUGGGUAAUAAGGAAGAAAGACAUGAAAAGCUAAACAAAGAUAUGUUUCAUAAUAAUACAAGAAAUUGUAACAAUUGUGAAUUUUCUGGUUAGAAAUAUAACACAAAAACUAGCUCAAUUUAGUUUAAACAAUAAAACUAAGUGAUUGUACCACAUAACUGGAUGGUUGUAAGGCUUCAGUGCUCCAAUGGCUUCAUGAUAGAAUCAAAGACAGUUUCUUUAAGCUUCUGGUGGCAAAGGUGGUCUUCCCUUAUGGUGACAAGAGGGCUGAAGCAAUGCCAGAUGUGGCAUAGCACAUCAUCCAAAAAGAGAAAGAACAGUGGCUUAUUCUGCCUCUCCCAGAAGAAUGAGGAACAUUCUAGUCUAGAAAACCCUCAUAUACCAUUGACCUGAAUUAAGUCAAGGCUAUUUCUGAACCAAUCACUUUGCCCAGAGUAAUAUCAUGCACUGAUUGACUUAGUUGUGGAUUUCCUGAAUUUAUCUCUGUGGCAGGGGUGUUUAAAUCAGCCUAGAGCUCGAUUGAAUCUUGUGUCUCACUCCAUCUCUAAACCACACAGGGAUAUGCAAUGGAAGGGAGGUUGGAGAAAGAACCACCACAAUGCCUACUCCUUUUGUUUCUCCAAUUCUCUCUCUCUCACAUACAUGUACACACACACAUACUCUUGAAUGUACUUUUCAAAAACACCUACAAUUAUAUGAAAAUUAUACUGAAUUAUACUGAAUUAUACUGAACUCCUCCCAAAGGAUAUAUUCAAUUAUACUGAACUCCUCCCAAAGGAUAACCUCAGAAAGUUUUCUCACUGCAUUCAGGUCCAUGUGCAAGAUCUCUUGGUGACAUGUCAUCCUCUUCAUUGGAACGGCUGAAACCCUCUAUGGUCCAAUGAUCUAUGGCUAAAAGAUGUUGUAUCCAUCCCCAGUUUCCCAAAUAUAUAAUCAUCGGGGAAAUGAUAUGGUAAUAUCAAUGAAAAUUCUCAUUUGAAAAAGGGAAAGAAUGGGAAAUAACAUACAGGUGUCAAUAUUCCACAGCACAAAACAUAUGCUGCUGUCCAGAAUGGGCUAGGAUUCCCGUUUCUUUUAAACGGAGUCAGUGCUUUGAUCAGAUACAACAGCUGCCCAGGAGGCCACUUUCUGGGAAGAUCUCUCUUGUCCAUUGUCCUACAUGGCCACAUCAGGGGACAAUUCCCUUCCAAGGAAACACACCACCUUAGCAGUCUAGUGGAAUGAUUUUGGGUUUUUUGGAGAUUGGGUACAGGGAUGAAGAAAUCACUGACUAGUUUCAGCCAAGUUGAGGUUUCUUUGGUAAACCAACACACUUGAAAAUGUAGUCAGCUUUGGUCUAUUUGCUUCUGGUAAAUUCCACAGCCCAGUACAGAGGCAGAGAUUGGGUUUGUCCUCAGUCUGUGAGCCUGAGUUUCUGUCCUCUGUAGUGAUGCUCUGUAGUGACAGCCAUCUGUGCAUAGCCCAUUUCCCUUGGAUGUCCAUUCAAUAGAUUUGACUUCAUGCUGACGUUCACCUCAGAACAAAUGGAAAAAUAGCCAUCUGUGGGCAGGUGCUGGUAAUUUGCCACUUGUCCCCAUACGAUAGCCCAGGCACAUCUUAAGGGUGAGAUUGAAUUCCACUUUUAUCCAUCAAAGAAUGCUUAAUAAAAGAUACCUCAGAGACGCCUGGGAUAUUGGGCUUGUCUUUCAUCCCAGUAUUUUCUUUUUUUGUAAGAAUCCUACCUCUCUGUCCCUGCUCACGUGGACUCUAGCUUAGGGUAAAGCAUUUGACUUUUUCAACUCUGCCAGAUUCCGAGUUACAAAUAUUUUAGGCAUUACAGACUAUUGUUUGAAGCAGAGAACACUUGUUUUAGCAGGGCCAUGUCCUCUUUUCCCUCUCUGACUUCCGACUGACCUGUUUUAGAUUAAUCCUCUUUAGGUUUUUCAGUCUUUUUAUUAGGAGUCAAAAGAAGUAGCCAAUACUCUCAAAUGCUGAGUUUUUCCUAGCAAUUCUCCCACGGCUAGAGCUAAAUCAUGUGAUCCUAGCCUUGACAUCCUACGGCCCACAGUUUACCAAUGCUGGUUUCUCUACCACACAAGAAGGUCUAGAGUCCCACUUCCUUCCACCUACUUCUUCAAGCAAAGCAAAUGCUCACAUUAGGGUUUGUUACCUGGAAGAGCUCACUCCAAUAUUAACGCCAUAUUUCCAACCUCACACUGAGCCAUUUCAUACGGAUUUUCUCAGGGAAGAGCUGACACAAAAAAGAGAAGGUGUUUCAAAAGCCUACCCCUAAAAGGAGCAAGUAGAUGUUGUAUCCAAGACAAUAGAUGUGUGAGAAGCUAGAGAUGAAUAAUUGAACGCAUCCCUUUUGUCCACUUUAUCCCUGAUAAAGUUCUUCUCAACGGGAGAAAGCGAAGAAUGUAGGUGAGAAUCAAAAUGUGGAUAGACAUUUUGGGAAAGGAGUGUGGCUUUCAUGAAUCUUUUUAAGUUUAGAGUAUCUGAAAAUAGAGAUUUUGUGCUUAUAUUCAUAAAAUCUCAGAGUAGAAAAGGUUUGGUACGUUUAGGCUGACGAGCCUGGGAAAGCUGCAUAGAAGUCCCGUGCCCCAGUGGGACGGAAGCUCUAAUAUUCCUGAAGUGGCAUGAAAUAGUAGAGACUCAUCCAGGCCUAGUACCAAAUAGACAACUGAAAGAGCAAAAAAUUCUAGCUUACAUAGGUGAUCACCCAAACUGGAUGCAUUCUCUUAGAAAGGAGAUGGAAUUCUGGAUUUGAAAAAAAAAAAAACACCUUUUUUGUGGGGAGGGGAAGGAGGAACAAUUUUGUAUGUUUUGGGAGGAGAGGGAAGGACAAUUUGAGAUUAAGUUUCUAACCUUUGCCCGAAUCAAGUCUCAUAACAAAAUUAAAUUUGGGUGUAAUGAAGUUACAGUUCCUGAAAGUUAAGUCUGUGGGCUAAGAUCUGUACCUGCUGCAAAAUAAUCAUGCGAGAAAAAGGGUUAGAGACGGCAGUUAAGGUGUGCUGCAUUGAUAGCAAAUAAACCAACUCAGCUGGCACAGAGUACUUACAUUGACAAAUAGUAGAACUUUAUGCUAAAAAGAUAGGUUCCACCUAGGCUGGAAACUCCUGGAGGAUCAACCUGAAAAAUAUUUUAGUCUGGAUGGAAUGAACCAGAGUAGGGAUAGGUCCAAACUAAGAAAUCAACCGGGUAACCAUGCACAGGAUGAUGAGAACAUCAUCACAUAGUAGAACCUCCAAUUUGUCAAAUUUUACAAAUUUGAUAUGUGCAGUGAGAAAAUUUAUUCUUCAUGAAACAUUUAUUCAACAGAUAUUACUCUGAUCUAUAGUUAAGGAAACUGCAGGUCAGAGAAACUUGAAAAGAGAUCGCUCACGCAGAAUCACAUAGUUAAUAGUGAGAAGAGCUGGAAGCAGAAGCCCUAGUUUUAGACAACAACUAAAAUAUUCUUUCCACCACAACCAAAGGCAUAUCUGGCUCCCUGCCGCAACAUCCUUGUAAUUUCAAAGUCACAGUUUGAGUCAAAUAAUGGUGUUUACUUUCUGAUCUUUGGAACCCAGUAUUUCCUGCAAAUGACAUCCGAGUUAGGUUUUUCUCCUUCUGUGCCUCGGUUUCCCGUAAUUGGCUUGUUGACCCUUUGUUGCCAGACCUUUCCAUGAUUGCUAUUAUCUGGAUGUCUCCAGUUUCCUGUUGCUUUUGUCCAAGUUUAUUAUUUUUUCUCCUGUACUAAGGUAAGGCUGGUGGUAUAUACAUUUCUUAGCUUCAAAAUUUGAAAAGGACAAUGCAGAGAAACAUAAAGGAAAUAAUGUGGCUUUCAGUGGAGAUGGGCUUGAAUUCCUUCUCUACUACUUCCAGCUGUCUUAGAAGAGGCGUAUUUUCAGAUUCUGAUUGACUCCUCUAGAGAGCUCCUUGCCUUCCCUUCUCACCACCAGCCUCAUCCACUAGAGGUUGCUCUUAUAUCUAAUCCACGAUUACUCUUGGCAGCACAAUCCCUUCAAACCACACAUUUUGAGUAACAGAAACCCUGAAGACAGCUAAAGGAUGUCAAGAUACUCAAGACAUCUUUUUCAUGACAAAAAUGUAAGUCUCUAUGAUUAUUUUUAUUUUCAUCUCUUCACUGCAAUGUGCUUCCCCUUGACCCAAGACAUGAGUCCCUCCCUCUAUCUUUUAUCCCAGACUCCCCCUUUGCCCCUAGCCCCAAGGAAUCCAAUGGUAAAUAAACUCUCCAACAUCCUUAUUUUCAUAGUUGAGCACACCGUCCACUUCUUGGCCCUAAGUGAAACCUGGCUGACCCUAAGAUAUAGUUUCCCCUGUAGUCAGUGUGAGUGAAAAAACACAAGAUGAAGGAAAGGAUGUUAUAGACACAAGGAUUGCAGAAGCAUAGAUUGUGGGGGAGAGAUGGGGCAUAAAGUUGUAAUAUGUUUACUCUUUGUCUGAGAAAGGAUUGAUAAUAGUCAAAAAGCUGCGCUGGGGAGAGAGGAGAAUGCUAGGGAUAUGUGUGUUUCUCUGCUCGCCUCCUGGUCCUGAGACAUGUGGUGUAUGGGGGAGUGAGCAGCAAACACUUCAAUUAAAUGGAAAUAUAAAGAAAAAAUAAAGGAAAAAAGUGAAAAAGAAAAGUAAAUUUAGAGGCUGGCCCGGUGGUGCAGCAGUCAAGUUUGCACGUUCCACUUUGGCAGCCUGUGGUUUGCCAGUUUGGAUCCCAGGUUCGGACCUACACACUGCUUGUCAAGCCAUGCUGUGGCAGGUGUCUCACAUAUAAAGUAGAGGAAGAUGAGAACGAAUGUUAGCUCAGGGCCAGUCUUGCUCAGCAAAAGGAGGAGGAUAGGAGACAGAUAUUGGCUCAGGGCUAAUCUUCCUCAAAAAAAAAAGUAAAUAUAAACAAAAAAAUAUAAUCGAAAGAUAAAUAUUUUUUAAAAAACUAAUGUCCACUGCAAUAUUCUACAAUCUGUUUCAGAGUUUUGCCCUCUUCCCAACAUUAACCCUGUAACAAAUUUCAACACAAGCAAUGAGCACAGUGUUAGGAAGGAAAGGAAUAAACUAAUGCAGUUGUUGCCCUAAAUUUGGAAAGGUAUGUGCACAUUGCGUCUAUUCAGUGACAUGAUCUUCUUUUGGUGACACCAACCUUCCAGUGAGCCCUGCAGAGUUGAUAGAUAUCUAGUGCAGGAACUCUUAACCUCCAGCACAUAGAGUUGAGUUCCACUAAGUCCAGCAUCAUUAGACCUAGAGAUAUCAAAAUUACAUAAACUCUAUCUAUCAAGGAAGCAAAUAAUGAAGACAGAACUCCAGAAAGAAGGGCUGGACAUUAUUAUAGGGUUGUAAAAAUUAGAAGAUAAUGAAGAGUUAUAAAAGCCCCUAAUCUUGGAGAACAAUAGGAGACAAAUAAAUAUUUGUCAAGAAAGACAUGACUCCAGUCUCCCACGCCUUAAGCAGGGUGCUCACCUCAAUGCUGAUUACAUAUCCUUUAUAAGUUUCCAUUACAAAUCCAGCUAACUUGUUUAAAGUACCUACAUAAGACCUAGCAUAGAGAAAGCACCUGACGCUCAUUAUCUAUUAUGGGUAAUAGUGUUGGUACCAGAAACAGUAACAGGAUAUGUAUUUUCAGUUAAUUAGAAAAAUGGUCAUCAAACUAAAUAUGAUUUGAAUAGUUAUGGGGAGCAAUAUAAUAAUCCAAAGGAAAGCACAGGGAGGUGAUGACAACAAGUAUGAUGAGAAGGUAAGUUGCAAGUGAAGCUGCAUAAAAAUAAGGUUUGGGCUUUAAUCCUUUUGUGAGCUUUACACUAGAGAACGAUUCAUGGGGAGCCCAGCAUUCUUUAAAGGCCAAGGUUAGGGUGAGCAGUUUGUUCUUAAUGACUGUAAUAUACCAAAAGCAUAUAUAUGAAAAUU
ensembl:lncRNA